ensembl:lncRNA
GGUGGGGGUGGGGGUUAGUGGGUAGGAGUACCCCUCUGUUGACAGCACUUUUCGGGCUGUGACUGUGCCUUGAGCCAGCCUUUGUUUCCAGCGUGUCUUUGCAAUUUCUCUAUCAAUUGUGGCUACUUACUAAGCACUUGCAGGCAUUUCUGGAAACCUCGCAUCUGUUUUUUGACUCAUUCACGUGGUAAUUAAAUCAUCUUGUGCUGGCUUUGGGGCUUUACAGAAACCUGAAGUGUUGGGAGCUGCCUGUGCAUCAGAAUUAGUACUGGGCAAGCCUUCUGGAGUGCUGAACUUUCACUGGGAGUCUCAAUCGCCCGGCCCACAGGGUUCGUUGGUCUAAGAGGACACCCAGGCAUGGGUGAGUUUUAUGAGAUCCCCUGGUGACUCUCAAGUGCAUCCUGGCUGGAGAACUGAUAUAAACCAAGGAAGGACAGAAUCCCACCUGAGCAGAAAGUGAGGAAUGAGAGCGUCUUGCAGGGGGUGGCCAUGUGGCAGAGCUGGUCAACAGAAUGCAAGGCAGAGUCCGCUGGCACGUGUUUCUGGGAAGCCUUUUUUUUCCUGUUAGAAGAGACGUAGAAGACCACCACCUCUUCCCCUUCUUGCCUUCAGUGGAGAUGUGGUGCCUGGAACACAUGCAGCUGUCUUGCAACCUUGAGGGUCGGGAAGAUUCCCCUGCAGGAGGAAAUGGCAACCCACCUCAGUAUUCUUGCCUGGAGAAUCCCAUGGACAGAGGAGCCUGGCAGGCUACAGUCCAUAGAGUCGCCAAGAGUCAGACACACCUGAAGUGACUUAACAGAGCCCACACCAUUUCCACUGGAUGUUUCCUACAGGUGGUGGGACCUUGAUCACUUCCUGAGAACGUAUGUUAUAUGAAGACCUCAUCAAUCCAGAAUCUGAAAAUUUGACCAGGCUGAGGCUAAUGUUUCCUAUCGCAUCAUCUACUGAGGAAAGAUUGGCCCUGCGUAGAUAAGUCGUCCGGUGGCCAUGGAGGACUCUUUCGGGGACUGCUAUUUUUAAAGUGGUGGUUGUUGCUUAGCAGGACGUCAAUGGCAACCGUGUCCCUGUUACUUAGUUGUGUCACCUGGAAAGUGCUAGCAUCCCAGCACCCUGCCUUCACAGGGAGGUGGCCGCCCCACCUGAGUCUGCUGUUAACGCCUUCAAACCACAUUUACUGAGCAUCUGCUUUGUGGCUGCUGUGCCCUGGGGCCUGGGGAUACUCCUAAUACAACCCACUGGAAAGGUUCAGAGUCUACUUAAGGUGAGACGUUAAAGUUUCGGGACCUUGUGUGAAGUUCCGCUACUGCAGCAUGGGUUGAGAUGCACGUAUCACUUGGUAGGUGACAGGAGACAGAAGAGAGGACAGAGGAGUCCCUUGGGGGAAUAAGCACAAGGAAAGCCUCCCUGA